rnacentral:lncRNA from 1 species
CUUGUUUCUAAUUCAAAUAAAAAAUCGAAAAUAAGACAACAAAUACCCCCACCCCCAUAAUUAUUGAAAUGUAACCAAAUAAAAGCACACACACACACAUACACACACACACACACACACACACACACACACACACACACACACACACACACACACACACACACAACUGUGCAGUUCAAUUAUAUGCUGGGCAACUACUCCUGAACAUGAGGCUUGUCCUGGAGUGGUUGGUAUAUCCAGUGUACGGAGAAAACUGAUUUUUGCCUUUCGAAGCAGGUAUAAGUGCUAAAUUUUAUCCUGGCGGCUAGGUUUCCAUUCAUUGAUUCAUUCAUUCAUCAGUUCAUGCAUUUUUUAAAAAAAGUUAACAAAAUAAUAUAUAAAACAAAAUCUAUGAACAAGACAAACCAACAAGAGGAAAAGAGUCCAAGGGAAGAGGGAGUGUAGAUUGAGAAAAUUCCAUGGGGCUGGAGAGAUGGCUCAGAGGUUAAGACUGCUCUUCAGAGGUCCUGAGUUCGAUUCCCAGCAACCACAUGGUGGCUCACAACCAUCUGUUAUGAGAUCUGGUGCACUCUUCUGGUGUGCAGAUAUACAUGGGAGCAGAAUGUUGUAUACAUAAUAAAUAAAUAAAAUUAAAAAAAAUUAAAAAAAAAUAAAAAAGAGAAAAUUCCUAUGUAUGAUUGAUUGGUCUGUAGGCAAGACUGUAGAAUAUUUUCUUAGUUUUGUGUGUGGGGCCCCCAGUCAUUGUAGGUGUUGCUAAACCUACAGCCUCUGGGCUGGUGGCACAGGAUACUACAAGAAAGCAGGCUGAGAAGACAGAAGGAGCAAGCCAGCAUGCAGCACACCUCUAUGGGCACUGCAUCAGCUCUUGGUUCCAGGUUCCUAUGAUGUUUGAAUUCCUGCCCUGAAUUUCCCGAGCAAUGUACUAUGCAGUGGAACUGUAAUGUAAAAUGAACUCUUCCCUCCACAUUGUUCGUAAUCAUGGUAGUUUGUCCCAGCAAUUGAAACAGAAACACGCCAGGUUAGUCUUCCAGUGGCAACUAUAUGAGUUUCAUGUCCAUCCCUUUUCUUAUGUUUGUAUUUGAUAAACCAGUAAUGUAAUAAAUCAUCGAAGAGGCCUUUAUCAGAAGAUUUUUCAUUGCUUUUAGAGUACCACAAGAAGACUCUGUGGUAACUGUCAACGGAGCUGUCGAUGUCCAUGACUUGAUCUGACUCAGCAUCCAGACUUCUGAGGAGUUGAGAGGUCUUGAGCAUGCUGAGUCCCUGACUUGGCCAGGUCCUCAGUAGAGACUCUGGUGCUCACUGAGACCCCUUCUUGACCAGGAUCAUUCUUGCGCGGCUCCACGUUGAGCCGACAGUGGCGCUCAGGAGAGGACAUUGCCCCAUCUCUCGCAAGAGUUCUCAAAGUUCUGUCAGCGAGUCUUUUCCUCAGCCUCCUACGUCGCCGGGAUCUUCUUCGCCUCAUGAAAAUCUUUUGAACCUGUAAGGACAGCACAGUGGUGGUAAGCAUGUGAAGGGGACAUUGUGAGGAAAAGGUGUGGGUUGAGGAGGAAAUCCAUGCCAGGCCAGGGAAAGACAAGAUUCCCAGGGAAGGGAAACUGAUCAACCAAGGAGAAAGAGUACUUUGCUCUAGUCGGCUCACCUUUUCACAGCUUUCCGAAACUGGCUGACCUACAGCUGUGCCAGGUGCGCAGGGGCAGGCUUGAGAGGGUGUCACGGCAGUCAUUUGCUGGUUUUGUGAGGUUGAGGGAGCUGAAUCUGUGCUGGGCUCCACUGCCUCCUCCCUAACCUCCAUAAGGGAGCCUACCUGAGGUCUGAACCCACAGCUCUCUAACAGCCAACUGAUCAAGGCCCCCAAACAAUGCAGGGCCACACCCUUCAACCCUGAUUGGUCCUCACAGCCUCGCCAGCCAUUAUGAUUGUUUCUGGCAUCACAAAGCACCACCUCUGACCUCUCUGGGCACUGGGCACUGGGCACAGGGUUGAGGGGUGGGCUUCCAGAGAAACCAGGAUGUACCUGAGAUAUCAGAGUGUACCACCCUGAUACUUCGGGGGGGGGAGGGGAAGGCCACUAUGACCUCUCUGGGCACUGGGCACAGGGUUGAGGGGUAGGGUUCCAGAGAAACCAGGAUGUACCUGAGAUAUCAGAGUGUACCACCCUGAUACUUCGGGGGGGGGAGGGCACUAUGACCUCUCUGGGCACUGGGCACAGGGUUGAGGGGUAGGGUUCCAGAGAAACCAGGAUGUACCUGAGAUAUCAGAGUGUACCACCCUGAUACUUCGGGGGGGGGAGGGGAGGGACACUAUGACCUCUCUGGGCACUGGUCACAGGGUUGAGGGGUGGGCUUCCAGAGAAACCAGGAUGUAGCUGAGAUAUCAGAGUGUACCACCCUGAUACCUCGGGGGGGGGCAGGGGCACUAUGAUAGUAAAGGAAAGGAGUCUGUUAGAAGACAGGAGGCUCUUGGUGAGCUUCUUCAAGAGCUACUUGCCAAAACACUUUUCUUUCCUGUAGUCAAUCCUCAUUAUAGAGGAAGACGUGGCAGGAAGCCUCCUUAUCCAAACUCUUCCCCAUGUCAUCCCCACUCAGUGGAUCAUUCUGGUUUGUCUUUCCCUUAUCCCUUAGGGAGAGUUGUAUUUUCAUUCUGAAAAUAUUUCCAAAAGUGAUUUGAUCAUAUUUAAGACCUGUUGGUACGUGAAUCACCUACAAACAAACAAAACCAGGUCGUUAUGAAUAAGCACUCACCAACCUGUUAAAUAUGUCAUGAAAGUACAGUGAUUUUCAUUAGAACAUGUUUUCUAUUUAUUGUUGGAAAAUGUCAUAUAAGCAUAUAAUGUGUUUUUAUUAAAUUCCUCCCCCGAUUCCUACCCUCCACAGCCUCUUGGGUUCAACAAGUUUAGAGUAAAUUUCUCACCGCCCUUUUCUUAUCAACAGAGAUUUGGAUAAACCAGAAACUCUCAUAUGCUACUGUAUGUCUACUUUCAUUCAGUAGCUGAACACUGGCCUUACUGUUUUACUAUUUUAAAGGUGUUUUUCUUUUAUUAUUAUGUGAAUGUGUGUAUGUAUGUGAGGCCCUGUGUGUGUUUGUGUGUGUGUGUGUGUGUGUGUGUGUGUGUGUGUGUAUGUAUAUAUGCAUGUGUGUGUAUGUGUGUGUUUGAGUGAGUAUGUGUAUUAGUUUGUAUGGUAUUCCUGGCACAGAUUUCCUUCCCAGUAACAUGUGUUCUUUUCUUACUUUUUUUUGUUGUUUUUUUUGAGACAGGGUUUCUCUGUGUAGCUUUGGAGCCUAUCCUGGCGCUCACUCUGGAGACCAGGCUGGUCUCGAACUCACAGAGAUCCACCUGCCUCUGCCUCCCAAGUGCUGGGAUUAAAGGCAUGCACCACCAAUGCCCGGCCCCAGUAACAUGUCUUCUAUUCUGAUGCUUUUGAAUCAUUUCUCAUUCAUCCUUGUGUUUUUGUGAAAUAUAUGCUGCUGCUCUGCUUUAAUACAUUUGUUGGCCUGAAAUAUAAUUCAUCAUGAUAAUUGCUCAUAUUGCCACCUGUUUUCUCUGCUCAUUACUUCUUUUGGGGGUGGGUGGGUGGUAUUUCAAGACAGGGAUUCUCUGUAUCCUUCGGAGCCUGUCCUGGGACUUGCAUGUGGACCAGGCUGGUCUCAAACUCACAGAGUUCUGCCUGUCUCUCCUUCCUGAGUGCUGGUUCUAAAGUCAUGCACCACCCCUGCCUGGCUGCUCUUUAGUUCCCAUGGAGUAACAAUAUCCCUUUAGAAUGGACACACAGUUUUGUCAUCCAAUCCCUUCCUGUCUUCAGGGACAGCUAUGUUUUCAGGGCAUGACAGUGCCAAAAGCAGUGAUGUUCUGAGCAUCCUCAUUGAUGUCCUCUUGGGAACUUCUGCAUAGGGACAAUCACAGAAAAAUGAAGCCCAAGGCCUUGGUAUCAUCCAUUGUCUCCCUUUAGGCUAAUGUACCAUUUGACACUUAACCUUAUAAGAUUUAAACAACACACAUUUGUUUCUCACAAAGUAGACACUAGAACUGCAAUUAGGGUGCCAUGGUAGUCAAGUUCUGAGGAUCAUAUUUUCCUGGGUAUGUCUUUAUGUGGUCAUUUGUUUGGGAUAAUCAAAGACACAGAGAGGGAUUUUUUUAUUAUUAAUUCAAGUUAGGGAACAGGCUUGUUUCACAUGUAAGUCCCCUCUUCCUCUCCCUCCCCUCAUCCCCAUUCCUCCUCCCCCACCCCCAACCUACCCCUCACCCCAUCCACCCACCACUCCCCAGGCAGGGUAGGGCCCUCAACAGGGGCUCCACAAAGUCUACCAAAUCUUCCUGUGCUGGGCCUGGGCCCUUCCCCAUGUGUCCAUAGACAGAGUGUAACCCUUCACGUGGGAUGGGCUCUCAAAUCCCCCCCCCACACACACACCAGGGAAAAAUGCCAGUCCACCUCCGGAGGCUCCCAGGAGUGCAGGGGCCUGCCCAUUGGCAUCCAUGAUCAGGGGGUUGGAUUAGUCCCGUACUGGCCUCCCAAAGAGCAUCUGGGGUCGAUAUACUUUCCCUUUUUCAGGCCAACUGUUCCUGUGGGUUUCUCCAACCUGGUACAGACCCCUUCGUUCUUCAUUCUUCCCUCUCUUCAACUAGGUUCCAGAUUUAAGCUCAGUGUAUUUCUGUGGAUGUCUGUCUCUGCUUCCAUCAUCCACUGGAUGACGGCUCUAGGAUGGCAUAAAGAGAAGUCAUCAAUCUCAUUCUAGGGGAAGGGCUUCUAGGCCAUCCUCUCCUCCACUGCCUGGACUGUCAGAUCGUGUCAUCCUUGUAGGUCUCUGGAGAUCUCCCUAGUUCCAGAUCUCUUCUCGGACCUAUAGUGGCUCCCUCUGAUAUGGUAUCUCUCAUCCUGCUCUCUCUCCUCUAUUCUUCCCCCAACUCAAUAUCUCUGCUCCUCCAUUUCCUCUCCUCUACUCUUCUUGUGCUCUUAAGAGAGGGAUUUUUUUACUUCGUUAAAAUAUUACACAGUCUAUUUUGAUCUUAUUUCUCCCUGCCCCAACUCCUCUCAUAUCUACUCCAGCCCCCUACCCACCCUACUUCAUAGUCCUUCUCUAGAGAGACCUUAUUUGAGGUGAGUGAAGUGCUGUUCUGCCUGCUGUCAAGGAGGCAGGGUGUGCCAGGAGAUGGGGUAGGUUGUAGUCCACUAUCUCCCUUCCCUUUUCUUGAUUUCAGCUAAUCCUAAGUGAGAAACAAGAUAGCUCAGCGUAAAGACUCCUGCCACCAAACCAGAGGACCUGAAACCUAUGCCUGGGUCACUGUUAGUGGAAAGAAAGAACAGACUUCCAGUUUUCCUCUGACCUCCAUACAGGUGGCAUGGCCUUCAUGCACACACAUGCAUAAACACACAAUAUAAUAUGUGAAAUACUUUUAAAAACAACAGAAAUGUUGUUGUUAAUAUUGGAGAUGAUAAACCUGAACUUUUAAUGAAAACUUGCUAAAUGUGGUUAUCAAAGGUGAAGAUGACAGAAAGAAACAACAAACUUGAAGACUGAUGAAAGAGACUUCCUGUAAGUAAAUAUGGAGAGAGACACAAAUGAGGCAACUGCUAGGGAAAUGGAAUGCAAAGGCGUGGCCCACUACACAUGGCUCUUGCCCCAUUUUAAAAUAAUGUUUAAAAAUUAUUUUGAUGUUUAGUUUUUUUUUAGGAUUUUUUUAUAUUCUAGAUACCAACCCUCUGUCAGAUGUAUAGCAGGUAUAAUAUUGUCUCAUUGUGUGAGCCGAUUCUUCACUUGAAUAAGGGUGCCCUUAGUUGUACAGAAGCUUUUCAUUUUCAUGCAGACCCAUUUAUUAAUUGUCCAUCUUAGUGCCUGUGCCACUUUCAGAAAGUAUUUUCCUGUGCCAAUGAAUUCAAACCGAUUCUUCACUUUAUCUUCUCUCAGAUUUAGGCUGUCUGGUUUUAUGUUGAGGUCCUUGAGUUAUUUACAAUCAGGGUGCAGGGUGAUAGAUAUGGAUCUAUUUGUAUUCUUCUCCGUGCCCACACCCAGUUUGACCAGCACCAUUCAUUGGUAUUUUUUUCAGUGCGUUUUUCUGGGUUCUUUGUAAAAAAAAAUCUGGUGUCUUUGGGUGUGUGGACUUAUGUCUGGGUCUUCAGUUCUAUUCAAUUAAUCAAUUUUUAUUCAGUGACAUUUUGUUUUUAUUUCUAUGGCUUUUUUACCAGUGAAAUCAGGGGUGGUGAUAUCUCCAGCAGUUGUUUUGUUGUUCAGAACUGCUUUAGCUAUAUUGGGUGUUUUGUAUUUCCAUAUAAAGCUGAACAUUGGUUUUUCAAUUUCUGGGGAGAAUCAUGUUGGAAUUUUAGUGGGGACUGUAUUGAAUCUGUAGAUUGCUUUUGGUAGGAUGGUCAUCUUUACAAUACUAACCCUACUGAUUUGUGAGAAUAGGAGAGCUUUCCAUCUUCUUCAGCAGGGUGGUGAUAGUGCACACAUUUAAUCGCAGCAGUUGGGAGACAGAUGCAGGCAGAUCUUGGAGGUCAAAGCCAACCUGGUCCACAGAGCAAGUUCCAGGAUACAGGAUAGCCAGUGCUACACAGAGAAACCCUGUCUCAAAAACAACACAAAUCUCUUACUUCAAUACCUUAAUGUUUUUAUUAUACAAGUCUUUCAUUUCCUUGGUUAGAGUUACCACAUGAUAUUUUAUAUUAUUUGAGACUAUUGUGAAUGGUGUUGUCUGCCUGAUUUCUUUCUCAUUCCAUUUGUCAUUUGUAUAUAGGAGGCCUACUAGUUUUGUGAAUUAAUUUUAUAUCCCACUAUUGUGCAGAAAGCAUUAUCAGGUGUAGGAGUUCCCUGGUGGAAUGUUUUUUAGGGUAACUUAUGUAUACUAUCAUAUCUCCUGCAAAUAAAGAUACUUUGACUUCUUCCUUUCCAAUCUGUACCCCUUUGAUCUCCUUCAGUUGUCUUAUUUUGCUAGCUUCAAGAACUAUAUUGAAUAGGUAUGGAGAGAGUGGACAGCUUUGUCGCAUUCCUGAUUUUAGUUGAAUUGCUUUUAGUUCUUCUGUUUAGCAUGAUGUUCACUGUGUAGCUAGAACAAGGACUUUAACCCACUGAAGCCUCUCACAGGCUAAUGCCUGCUCCCUCCCCAGUUUCUACUGAUUGCUUUUUUUCCUGUCUAGGAAACAUACUUUCUUACUUAUUUCAGGCCUUAUAAUUUUGUGCUGAAAACUGCAAAUUAAAUAAUAUAUAAUUUGCUGGGCAUGGUGGUAUAUGAUUUUAAUCCCAGCCCUCAGAAGGCAGAAGCAGGAUAAUUUCUUUGAGAGGCCAGAUAUAUAUAAAGAGUCCUAGGACAGUCAGGGCUACAUAGUUAGAUCCUGUCACACAUUUUUUUUUACAAGAUGUAUGAUAGUUCUGACAAUCUGAUUUUUCUUUCUGGUAUAUUAUUGUUGGUUUUUUAUUUUUAUCUUAUUUAUUUUUGGUUUGGCUUUUUUUUUAUUAGUUCCAGUUAGGGAACAAGCUUGGUUCACAUGUAAGUCCCUU